AUCUUAAAAAAAAAAAAAAAGAAGGGUCACCUCGGAAGAGAGGGCGGGGCGCUGGGACAGGGCUCGGGGGUGGGCGGGGUCUUCGGUGUGGGUGAGCCUCUAGAGCCCGGGGCCCUGGCACCGUGGUGGAGGGGAGGCAAGAACGGCGCUCGGCGGCCACUCAGGUGGGCACUUGGCAGGCGCUCCCUGGGCACUCAGCGGGCACUCAGGCGGGCAUUCAACGGGCGCUCAGGUGGGCGCUCAGAUGGGAACUCCGCGGGCACUCGGCGGGCGCUCAGGUGGGCACUUGGCGGGUGCUCAGGUGGGCACUUGGCGGGCGCUCAGGUGGGCACUCGGCGGGCACUGGGCAGGUGCUCAGGCGGGCGCUUGGUGGGCACUGGGCAGGCGCUCAAGCGGGCACUCGGUGGGGGCUCAGGUGGGCGUUCAGGCGGGCACUCGGUGGGGGCUCAGGUGGGCACUCGGCGGGCACUGGGCGGGCGCUCAGGUGGGCACUCCGCAGGCACUCAGGUGGGCACUCCAUGGGCACUCGGCGGGCGCUCCACGGGCACUCAGGUGGGCACUGGGCAGGUGCUCUGUGGGUACUCGGCAGGCGCUCAGGCAGGCACUUGGCGGGUGUUCAGGUGGGCACUUGGCGGGCGCUCAGGUGGUUACUUGGCGGGUGCUCAGGCGGGCAUUCAGCGGGGGGUCAGGUGGGCACUCAGCAGGCACUCAGGUGGGCACUCGGCAGCGCUAAGGUGGGCACUCGACAGGCACUCGGCAGGUGCUCUGAGGGCACUCAGGUUGGCACUCGGCGGGCGCUCAGGCAGGCACUCGGCGGGCGCUCAGGGCGGGCACUCGGAGGGGGCUCAGGUGGGCACUCGGCAGGCACUAAGACGGGCACUUGGUAGGCACUCAGGUGGGCACUCGGCAGCGCUAAGGUGGGCACUCGACAGGCACUCGGCAGGCGCUCUGCGGGCACUCAGGUUGGCACUCGGCGGGCGCUCAGGCAGGCACUCGGCAGGCGCUCAGGUGGGUACUCGGCGGGCGCUCAGGGCGGGCACUCGGAGGGGGCUCAGGUGGGCACUCGGCGGGCACUUGGCAGGCGCUCAAGUGGGCACUCGGCGGGCGCUCAAGUGGGCACUCGGUGGGCGCUUAGGUGGGUACUUGGUGGGCACUCAGGCGGGCACUCAGCGGGGGCUCAGGUGGGCACUUGGCAGGCGCUCAGGUGGGCACUUGGUGGGCACUUGGCAGGUGCUCAGGUGGGCACUCGGCGGGUGCUCCGCGGGCACUCAGGUAGGCACUCAGCGUGCGCUCAGGGGGGCACUCAGCGGACGCUCAGACGGGCACUCGGUGGGCACUUGGCAGCGCUAAGGUGGGCACUCGACAGGCACUCGGCGGGCGCUCCACGGGCACUCAGACCGGCACUCGGUGGGUGCUCAGGUGGGCACUUGGCAGGCGCUCAGGCAGGCACUCCGGUGGGCACUCCAUGGGCACUUGGCGGGGGCUCAGGUGGGCACUCGGCAGGCGUUCAGGUGGGCACUCGGCGGGCGCUCAGGCAGGCACUCCGGUGGGCACUUAAAAGGGCGCUCCGCAGACACUCAGGUGGGCGCUCCGCGGGCACUCAGGCGGGCACUUGGCGGGCACUCAGGCGGGCACUCGGCUGGCGCUCAGGUGGGUACUCAGGCGGGCACUGGGUAGGUACUCAGGUGGGCACUCAGUGGGCGCUCAGGUGGGUACUCGGUGGCGCUCAGGUGGGU
rnacentral:lncRNA from 1 species